CCAAUAGCGUAUAUUAAAGUUGUUGCAGUUAAAAAGCUCGUAGUUGAAUUUCGGGAUUUGUCCAUUGGUCGGGCCUCACGGUCCGUACUGGUGUGAUGGGUUCCUACCUUCUGAAUAACCAGCAUGCCAUUUAGUUGGUGCGCCGGGGAAGCAGAGCUAUUACCUUGAAAAAAUUAGAGUGCUUAAAGCAGGCUAUUGCUUGAAUAGAUUAGCAUGGAAUAAUAAAAUAGGACGGCAUGGUUCUAUUUUGUUGGUUUCUAGGAUCACCGUAAUGAUUAAUAGGGAUAGUUGGGGGCAUUAGUAUUCAAUUGUCAGAGGUGAAAUUCUUGGAUUUAUUGAAGACUAACUUCUGCGAAAGCAUUUGCCAAGGAUGUUUUCAUUAAUCAAGAACGAAAGUUAGGGGAUCGAAGACGAUCAGAUACCGUCGUAGUCUUAACCAUAAACUAUGCCGACUAGGGAUCGGACGAUGUUAAUUUUUUAAUGACUCGUUCGGCGCCUUACG
rnacentral:rRNA from 1 species